UCCCUGCUGGCUCAACUGGUAGAGAAUUUGUUUUCAAUGCAGGAGACCUGGGUUCAAUCCCUGAGUUGGGAA
rnacentral:tRNA from 1 species